rnacentral:lncRNA from 1 species
CAAGCUCUCUCGUCCUGAGAAGAUGUCCUUUAGUGACACUGUGCAUCUCAAAUCNNNNNNNNNNNNNNNNNNCCCCCCCCCCCCUGGCCCCCCGCCCCCCCGGGAGCCUGCCCCCCUCUCACCUUCUCCAGCCUGGCCCACCCCCUGCCACCCCAGCAGCAGCAGCAACAGCAGCCGCCGCCGCCGCCGCCCCAACAGUCACAGCCACAGCAGCCGCAGGCACCAACUCAGGGCCCCUCAACUGUAGGGGGUGCCCCUCCACUGCACACCCCAAGCCCCGAUGGUUGUACUGCACCAGGGGGAAAACAAGCCGGAGCUGAAGGCUACGGCCCCCCCGCUGUGAUGGCCAUGCACCCUCCCCCGCUGCAGCACGGAGGCUACCACCCUCAUCAGCACCACGCCCACUCCCACCCGGCCCAGCAGCCGCCGCCGCAGCAAGCACAGAGCCAGGCGCCCAUCAACAGCACUGGCUUUGCCUUUCCUCCAGACUGGUGCUCCAGUAUUGACUCCUUAAAGGAAAGCUUCAAGAUGGUGAACCGGCUCAACUGGUCCAGCAUCGAGCAGUCCCAGUUCUCAGAGCUGAUGGAGAGUCUACGGCAGGCAGAGCAGAAGAACUGGACCCUCGACCAGCAUCACAUUGCCAAUUUGUGUGACUCCCUCAACCACUUCCUCACCCAGACUGGCCACCUGCCCCCACAAGGGGGCUCCCACCGGCCACCUGCCCCUGCCCGCAUCACUGACUCCUGUGCUCUCACCAGUGGCAAACCAGAGCCAUCCAUGAACCAAGUGAACUCUUACGGGCAUCCACCAGCUCCCCAUCUCUACCCUGGCCCAGCACCAAUGUACCCAAUCUCCACCCAGGACACAGCAGGAUACAGUCGCCCAGCGCACCACAUGGUUCCUCGGCCACCUGUCCCACCUCCCGGUGCCAAUGAGGAGAUCGCUGAUGACUUCGACUGGGACUUGAUCACUUAA